CUGUAAGUACAUUUCAGAUUUGCA
rnacentral:siRNA from 1 species